GACGAACGCUGGCGGCGUGCUUAACACAUGCAAGUCGAACGGAAAGGCCCUGCUUUUGUGCGGUGCUCGAGUGGCGAACGGGUGAGUAACACGUGAGUAACCUGCCCUUGGCUUUGGGAUAACUUCAGGAAACUGGGGCUAAUACCGGAUAGGAGCUCCUGCUGCAUGGUGGGGGUUGGAAAGUUUCGGCGGUUGGGGAUGGACUCGCGGCUUAUCAGCUUGUUGGUGGGGUAGUGGCUUACCAAGGCUUUGACGGGUAGCCGGCCUGAGAGGGUGACCGGCCACAUUGGGACUGAGAUACGGCCCAGACUCCUACGGGAGGCAGCAGUGGGGAAUAUUGCACAAUGGGCGGAAGCCUGAUGCAGCAACGCCGCGUGCGGGAUGACGGCCUUCGGGUUGUAAACCGCUUUCGCCUGUGACGAAGCGUGAGUGACGGUAAUGGGUAAAGAAGCACCGGCUAACUACGUG
rnacentral:rRNA from 1 species